rnacentral:tRNA from 1 species
GCCGCCUUAGCUCAGUUGGUAGAGCACCGGUUUUGUAAACCGGCGGUCCCGAGUUCGAGUCUCGGAGGCGGCU